UUUUUUGUCAAAAUUUUUUAUGUUAAUUUAUUUUAAUUACAAAAACUAUAUUAUAACUUUUGGCAAUGAUCAGAGAACAAUUUUGAUAUCAACGGAAAUGAUUGGCCUUUACCAACACUACAACACUACAAACUCAAACCUAAAUCACAUGCACAAGUAACUAACGGGAGAGGCCAGGACAUAGCAUAAGCAUCUAAAACUUCAAAGCAAGCAAACCAGACAGCCAGCCAUCCAAACCAGCAACAUCCGACAACAAACUACAAAAUGCAGUGAUCGCAACCAUGCGGCGGCAACCAAAACAGCCAACCAGAAAAAGGUAAACCAGCAUAACAGCGCACAAUUUCGAUGGAAGGAGCUUUUCGGCAACAUGCUCAUGUGGUAUCGCAUUAGAUGAACCUCUUCUAGGAAACAGUUUCGAGCAAGAAUAUUUCGGCUUAGACAGUAACAGAAGACAAGAAUAAAGCAAGACGACUUUCGGCGGCAAUGCAGAAAUGCAAAAAAAUGUUCCCUUGGAACAAAACUCUCGGCAUAGACUUUGGCGUAUAUUUCGGAACAACAGAAGACGCAAAAAUACUCUAAAAUGACAAAUGACAAAAUACGCGCUGCAAGUGUUUCGACCGCCUGCCAAAUACGGGUUUUCCAAGCCAAAAAAAAAAUACAAGAAUUCAGUGUUAGGUAUAAGUGUAAAAUUA